rnacentral:rRNA from 1 species
AGCUUGCUCUUAUGAAGUUAGCGGCGGACGGGUGAGUAACACGUGGGUAACCUGCCCAUAAGACUGGGAUAACUCCGGGAAACCGGGGCUAAUACCGGAUAACAUUUUGAACCGCAUGGUUCGAAAUUGAAAGGCGGCUUCGGCUGUCACUUAUGGAUGGACCCGCGUCGCAUUAGCUAGUUGGUGAGGUAACGGCUCACCAAGGCAACGAUGCGUAGCCGACCUGAGAGGGUGAUCGGCCACACUGGGACUGAGACACGGCCCAGACUCCUACGGGAGGCAGCAGUAGGGAAUCUUCCGCAAUGGACGAAAGUCUGACGGAGCAACGCCGCGUGAGUGAUGAAGGCUUUCGGGUCGUAAAACUCUGUUGUUAGGGAAGAACAAGUGCUAGUUGAAUAAGCUGGCACCUUGACGGUACCUAACCAGAAAGCCACGGCUAACUACGUGCCAGCAGCCGCGGUAAUACGUAGGUGGCAAGCGUUAUCCGGAAUUAUUGGGCGUAAAGCGCGCGCAGGUGGUUUCUUAAGUCUGAUGUGAAAGCCCACGGCUCAACCGUGGAGGGUCAUUGGAAACUGGGAGACUUGAGUGCAGAAGAGGAAAGUGGAAUUCCAUGUGUAGCGGUGAAAUGCGUAGAGAUAUGGAGGAACACCAGUGGCGAAGGCGACUUUCUGGUCUGUAACUGACACUG